UGAUGCAGGAGGGACACAGGAGAGGCGCGCGCUGUGCCCUCCGUGUCCCUCCAACACGGCAGGGAGGCAGGCCCGGCGCUACCCGCUCAGCGAAGGGAUGCAGUGCAGGGAGGCGCUGGGACGGAGAGGCGCUCCCCCUGCUCUGCAUUCCUUCCCUGCUGCGCCGUCCUGGCCCCCCUGCUGCUGCUGCUGCUGUGUCUGUCACUGUAUGACUGUGACAGUCACUGGCAGCGGAGCCUGCAGCGUGAAAAGCCUCCUCCCUCCCCUCCCCUGUGUGGCAGCGGCUGUGUACGGGACGGAAGGGGGCGGAGCUAAACGGGACGAAAGGGGGCGGAGCUAAACGGUCCAGAAGGGGCGGGGCUACACGGACCAGGCUGCUGUACCGAGGGAGACUGGCUUAGAUCCCUUAAUGACGUGUUCGUUCGGAGUUCGGUAGUCCUGCUGAGAGGAUGAUGGGAGCACGGGGUAUUCUGCGUGGAGACAGAGGUGUGUGUGGCCCUCACUAUAUCCCUGCAUGGGGUGUGGGAAUCCCCUCCAGAGCGAGGAAGAAAACAUGAGAUCUUACCGCCGAGCCUCAUACCUCCAACAAGCUGAUAGAGACACUGGUCAGAUACCUGGUGAUUCUCCAGACAGGCCCAGAAAAUAGGAAACAUUUGUAGAUGAUUAAACAGAAA